UAAUACGUAGGGUGCGAGCGUUGUCCGGAAUUAUUGGGCGUAAAGAGCUUGUAGGCGGUUUGUCGCGUCUGCUGUGAAAAUCCGGGGCUCAACCCCGGACUUGCAGUGGGUACGGGCAGACUAGAGUGUGGUAGGGGAGACUGGAAUUCCUGGUGUAGCGGUGAAAUGCGCAGAUAUCAGGAGGAACACCGAUGGCGAAGGCAGGUCUCUGGGCCACUACUGACGCUGAGAAGCGAAAGCAUGGGGAGCGAACAGGAUUAGAUACCCUGGUAGUCCAUGCCGUAAACGUUGGGCGCUAGGUGUGGGACUCAUUCCACGAGUUCCGUGCCGCAGCUAACGCAUUAAGCGCCCCGCCUGGGGAGUACGGCCGCAAGGCUAAAACUCAAAGGAAUUGACGG
rnacentral:rRNA from 1 species